UGGGAAUUUGGACAAUGGGCGAAGCCUGAUCCAGCAAUGCCGCGUGUGUGAAGAAGGCCUUCGGGUUGUAAAGCACUUUUGUCCGGAAAGAAAUCCUUGGCUCUAAUACAGUCGGGGGAUGACGGUACCGGAAGAAUAAGCACCGGCUAACUACGUGCCAGCAGCCGCGGUAAUACGUAGGGUGCAAGCGUUAAUCGGAAUUACUGGGCGUAAAGCGUGCGCAGGCGGUUUGCUAAGACCGAUGUGAAAUCCCCGGGCUCAACCUGGGAACUGCAUUGGUGACUGGCAGGCUAGAGUAUGGCAGAGGGGGGUAGAAUUCCACGUGUAGCAGUGAAAUGCGUAGAGAUGUGGAGGAAUACCGAUGGCGAAGGCAGCCCCCUGGGCAAUACUGACGCUCAUGCACGAAAGCGUGGGGAGCAAACAGGAUUAGAUACCCUGGUAGUCCACGCCCUAAAACGAUGUCAACUAGUUGUUGGGGAUUCAUUUCCUUAGUAACGUAGCUAACGCGUGAAGUUGACCGCCUGGGGAGUACGGUCGCAAGAUUAAAACUCAAAGGAAUUGACGGGGUCAUAGCUGUUUCCU
rnacentral:rRNA from 1 species